rnacentral:piRNA from 1 species
UGGUAUGACACCUGACCCCCCCGCC